rnacentral:tRNA from 1 species
AAUUAAUGAGCUUGAAAAGCAUAUAUUUUGAAAAUAUAAGAAAGAAAUAAUAUUUCUAUUAAUUU